AGAGUUUGAUCCUGGCUCAGGACGAACGCUGGCGGCGUGCCUAACACAUGCAAGUCGAGCGGAGACAGUGAGUAGCUUGCUAUGAGCUGUUUUAGCGGCGGACGGGUGAGUAACGCGUGAGCAACCUUUCCCAGACAGGGGAAUAACACACCGAAAGGUGUACCAAUACCGCAUAAGACCACGGGAUCACAUGGUUCUGGGGUAAAAGAUUUAUCGGUUUGGGGUGGGCUCGCGCCCGAUUAGGUAGUUGGUGAGGUAACGGCCCACCAAGCCGACGAUCGGUAGCCGACCUGAGAGGGUGAUCGGCCACAUUGGGACUGAGACACGGCCCAAACUCCUACGGGAGGCAGCAGUGGGAAUAUUGGGCAAUGGAGGAAACUCUGACCCAGCAACGCCGCGUGGAGGAAGGAGGUUUUCGGAUCGUAAACUCCUGUCCUUGGAGACGAGUAGAAGACGGUAUCCAAGGGGGAAGCCCCGGCUAACUACGUGCCAGCAGCCGCGGUAAUACGUAGGGGGCAAGCGUUGUCCGGAAUAAUUGGGCGUAAAGGGCGCGUAGGCGGCUCGGUAAGUCUGGAGUGAAAGUCCUGCUUUUAAGGUGGGAAUUGCUUUGGAUACUGUCGGGCUUGAGUGCAGGAGAGGUUAGUGGAAUUCCCAGUGUAGCGGUGAAAUGCGUAGAGAUUGGGAGGAACACCAGUGGCGAAGGCGACUAACUGGACUGUAACUGACGCUGAGGCGCGAAAGUGUGGGGAGCAAACAGGAUUAGAUACCCUGGUAGUCCACACUGUAAACGAUGAAUGCUAGGUGUAGGGGGUAUCGACCCCUUCUGUGCCGCAGUCAACACAAUAAGCAUUCCGCCUGGGGAGUACGGCCGCAAGGUUGAAACUCAAAGGAAUUGACGGGGGCCCGCACAAGCAGCGGAGCAUGUGGUUUAAUUCGACGCAACGCGAAGAACCUUACCAGGUCUUGACAUCCACUUAAACUUACAGAGAUGUAAGGUGUGCUUGCACAAAGUGAGACAGGUGGUGCAUGGUUGUCGUCAGCUCGUGUCGUGAGAUGUUGGGUUAAGUCCCGCAACGAGCGCAACCCUUAUCUUCAGUUACUAACGCGUGAGGGUGAGGACUCUGAAGAGACUGCCGGGGACAACUCGGAGGAAGGUGGGGACGACGUCAAAUCAUCAUGCCCCUUAUGACCUGGGCUACACACGUGCUACAAUGGCCACGACAGAGAGAAGCGAAAUCGCAAGGUAGAGCGGAACUCAAAAAAGUGGUCCCAGUUCGGAUUGUGGGCUGCAACCCGCCCACAUGAAGUCGGAGUUGCUAGUAAUCGCGGAUCAGCAUGCCGCGGUGAAUACGUUCCCGGGCCUUGUACACACCGCCCGUCACACCAUGGGAGUUGGGAGUGCCCAAAGCCGGUGAGGCAACCGCAAGGAGCCAGCCGUCUAAGGCAAGACCAAUGACUGGGGUGAAGUCGAAACAAGGUA
rnacentral:rRNA from 1 species